UUGUUGGGAUCAUGGCGGAGAAU
rnacentral:piRNA from 1 species